CCUCCUCCAUGCAGCCUUUCCUGAUCUCCCCAGUUGGAAAAUGAGGAUGCCACGAAGUUCUUGAUAUUAUUGUGAAAACAUUUUGGAAACUUUAAAAUGCCGCAUAGGAACGUGAUUCUCCAUCCUCUUCUGAGGCUGGAUUUCUGACUGCAGUCCUUGGGGUGUGCUGGCCUCUGGGCCUGGCUCGAUGGUCAUUGGAGGAAACCUCGUCAGCUCCUCCUAGUGGCCUCUAGGCCCUGCUCUGCUGGCUCCCAUCCUAUCUGCCCCUCCAGGCUUCCUCCAACAGCUACCUGGGUCCUGCUGCUCCAGGUCACCGAAACAGCAUGUGGCAGAGUGAGGACCACUCUUUCUACUACACCGAGCUGUCUCCCACGGUGGUAAGGAUGUGGUUUUACCAAAGAAACCCCAUCGGAGCUGUGCAGAAGUUAGAAGAGAAAGCUCACAUUGCUCUCCAGAUCUCCUCAGGAUUGGAAUGCAAAUGAAUCUGAGCUGUUAAAGGUGGGAUUUUAGCUGAGACUUGAAAGCAGCCAAGAG